CUCAGCUGUGAGGAGAGCAGUGGCGUCCCCCGGAGCGCCCGCCACGUCGAACCACACGUGCCUGCCGUGACCGUGACGCAACGCACCGAGGUGAUGCUCUGAAAGACCCGCAGAUUACAACUUAAAACGGUAUCUGUACGCUCUCUGGAGAAGCAGAUCAUCGUUGGGCAAGUGGAUGGCAAACGUGCGCGAGGAAGGGCGCCUACGAGGUUGUCUGACAUCGUGAAGAAGACGGUGGGCGGCAGCAUACAGAGGGCGGUCCACGCAGCAUAUAGCCGUACCGAGUGGAAAACCAUAACCUGUGGUCGCGAUCCUCAGCAGUGAGGGAACGACGAAGAAGAAGUAUAGCGGUCUCCGGCGCCGCCGCUAUAAUCUGUGGUAUGCGAAGUGACUCACUCAACAUACUUACCUGACGACUUCUACCUGCAGACCCGGCAUGGGGUUGUUUUAUAGCCUAAUGGGUAAUGGGCUAACCUACCUCUCUACGAAAAAUGAAUCAGAUAAGGUACCUAACCAUUUAAGAGAAAGAUGAGUUUAAUUAGGUCUAAGUACCUAAUUAAUUAAAUAAUUCCGUAAGUGAAUGGUGGUCGUAGAUAAUUAGUGGAUAGGUGGAUACCUACCUAAUUAAAUAAUUACCUACCUGUGUAGGUAUUUAAUAUUUAAGUUUGUAUUUGCAUUGUAAACAUAAUUAUUGUAAAUAGUAAGUAAACAUAAUAAGUAACUAAGCAGAUCUAGGUAGUUAACGUACUUAUUCAUAAAUAGAUAUGUAUAUCUAACUUAAUUACGAGUAUGUAUGUAGGCACAUGAACGUCAAUAAAUGUGAUGUAAACAUAGUUUAUAACAACAGUAGGUAAGAUAGACGCGUUUUAUCGAAGUUCUCCGUAAUAUAUCAAUUAAGCAGGCGGAAUUGUGUCAGAGCGAUGAUAUAGCUAGGUACUUACUUUUGCUCUGGAAGGUCAUGAUCAGGUCGCUCUCGUCGAUAGCUUGCUGUUCGUCGCCGCUAAGCGCCAUCUCCGAGCUGCGCGUGGGCCGCGCCUGCUCGUGCUCCUCAGCCAACUGCUUGUACACAUCCAUGAGGAAGCUGGGCGCCGACCGGUCCAGCGGCGGAUCACGGACUCGCCGAGGCCUCUCACCCA